rnacentral:rRNA from 1 species
UGGGGAAUAUUGGACAAUGGGGGAAACCCUGAUCCAGCAAUGCCGCGUGUGUGAAGAAGGCCUGCGGGUUGUAAAGCACUUUCAGUAGAGAAGAAAAGCGCACGGCUAAUAUCCGUGUGUCUUGACGUAACCUACAGAAGAAGCACCGGCUAACUCCGUGCCAGCAGCCGCGGUAAUACGGAGGGUGCAAGCGUUGUCCGGAAUCACUGGGCGUAAAGGGCGCGUAGGCGGCUCGGUAAGUAGGGGGUGAAAUCCUGCGGCUCAACCGCAGGGCUGCCUUCUAAACUGUCGGGCUCGAGCACAGCAGAGGCAGGUGGAAUUCCCGGUGUAGCGGUGGAAUGCGUAGAGAUCGGGAAGAACAUCGGUGGCGAAGGCGGCCUGCUGGGCUGUUGCUGACGCUGAGGCGCGACAGCGUGGGGAGCAA